UACGAACGGUCCAAACGUUAUUCGGAAUCACUGGGCUUAAAGCGUCCGUAGGCGGCUCGGAAAGUAGGGUGUGAAAUCCCACGGCUCAACCGUGGAAUUGCGCUCUAAACUAUCGAGCUAGAGGGAGAUAGAGGUGAGCGGAACUGAUGGUGGAGCGGUGAAAUGCGUUGAUAUCAUCAGGAACACCGGUGGCGAAGGCGGCAUCCUGGACCGAGAUUGACGCUGAUGCGCGAAAGCCAGGGGAGCAAACGGG
rnacentral:rRNA from 1 species